rnacentral:rRNA from 2 species
AUAUAAAUAAUGAAAUUUAACGGAUUUGGCGGCAAAGCAGCCUUUUAGAGGAACCUGCCCUUUUAUCGAUGAUCCACGAGUUACUAUACUUCCUCUUGUUUUCAGUUUGUAUACCGCUGUUGUCAGUUAGUUUCUUUAGAAAUCUAUCAAUAAUAUAAAAAGUAUUAACUUCAAGUAAAGGUGCAGCUUAUGAGGGAGUUUGAGGUGGGUUACAUUUGAGUCGAGCAAUCACGAAACUAAAGGUGAAAAUUUUUAGUGAAGGUGGAUUUAAAAGUAAAAUUUAGGAGAUUUGAAGAAAGGAAAUGUUUUGUGUACAAACCGCCCGUC